rnacentral:lncRNA from 9 species
GAGAGAUGGUUGUUAUAAGUUUCACCUUCCUCUCCAUCCCUUUCUGAUUCCAAGUUGUCUAGGCUUGCAGAUUCCCUUAGUGAUCUCUAUUAGGUGGGUACUUCAUCCACAACCUCCACUGCUGGGAUUUUCACAGUUUUUGCUCAGGGAAUACUGUGGAUGUUCGAUGACCCAGAAGGCCUGCUGCAAGUAUCCACAAGGCAAAUGACAAGGGAAUCUGAUAAAUUGGACCAUACUGUGAACAGAACAACUAUUAGUCUGAAUGCAACUAAUGGGAGCUGCAGCUACCAGCCUACACCAUAGCCACAUCAAUGAUGGAUCUGAGCUGCACCCAUGACCUUUUUCACAGCUUGAGGGUGGGGUAAAAAGCUGCAAGACAACAAAGGUGGGCGGCAAGGAAACAGAUUCUCCUCAGCACCUCCAAAAGAAGCACUUUGAGACCCGUUUUUGACUUCUGACCUCCAGAAAUGUAAGAUAAUGGAUUUUUGCUGUUUUAAACUUUCAUGUUGUCUUAGUGUUGUAAUUUGUGGUGAUGUCUUAGAGCAGUAAUAGAAAACUACUGUUGUAUGGGUUUAAAAAUUGGAUGAAAUAAUGUAAAACCCAGUGUUUCAAAACAGGAGCCCUGGAGUUAGACAGAUCUGUGUUUUGACCUUUUCCUUUUAAAAUAAUAAUUCUUAACUUGAUAGAAUUACUUAACAUCUUUGUUUCUUCAUCUACAUGUAGGAAGGUAAUACCUGGAAAAACAAAUUUUGUCUGUAUACUUUCUUUUCUUUCUUUUUUUUCUUUUUUUUUUUUUUUUUUGUCUUUUUGCUGUUUCUUUGGGCCGCUUCCGUGGCAUAUGGAGAUUCCCAGUCUAGGGGUCGAAUUGGAACUGUAGCCGCCAGCCUACGCCAGAGCCACAGCAACGCAGGAUCCGAGCCGUGUCUGCAACCUACACCACAGCUCACGGCAACGCCGGACCGUCAACCCAUUGAGCAAGGGCAGGGACCGAACCAGCAACCUCAUGGUUCCUAGUCGGAUUCGUUAACCACUGCGCCACGACGGGAACUCCUAUACUUUCUUUAUGCUUGACAAUUUUCCUAGUUAUACAGAGUUAUAUACAUUGUCUUGAGAAUUAAUAAUGUAAUUCAUAAAGAAAAUAUCUUGAUCAUCAGAAAGGAAGGAUUAAAGGAAGCAGAGAAGAGAAUUCAUGCCAAAAGAAUAAUAUUGAAAAGUGAAUCGAGUUACAGCCAAACAUUGCCUCUACUUUUGAAGAGUUUAGAAGAGGACUGCCAGGAGGAGGUGGUGUAUGGUAGGGGUGGGCAGCCAUAAAUGAAAGCGUAGCUGAAAUGCUUCUCACCCAUGCUGGCCAGCUGCAGACCCUUGCAGGGAAACUGCUAUCUCUAGUAGAUCUUCCUUCACCAUUCUGUGUAGGUCUGUGGCUCAACAGAGCAGAAAAAAUAAGUUGGCUGUUGUUCUGGAUUCUGUGGCAUAAAAGCCUCCCAUUGAAAACUAACCACAUGUGAUUGUCUAGCAGACUGACCAUUUUAUUAACUGUGGUCUUUGAAGUUUCUUAAGUAGACUGCGUGGACAAUCCUCCCUCCCACUGAUUUCAUUGGCUCAAAAUAAAAACCUCUUUAUCCCCAAGCAGAGUGAGGUGUAUAACAUCUGAAGAAACAGGUAUGGAAGCUGAUAGGAAAAGCCUGGCUCCUAUCUUAGUAUUGAACAACAAUGAAAGAGCACAGCUUACACUUGAUAACCCCUUUGCCAUGUAAAUGGAGAAUUAAUAAUCCAAAAAUUGAAUGAGGUAAUGCAUGGCAAGUUCUUUUCUAAGGCCCAAGUAAUAACAACCACCACCAACACAACAGACUUUCCUACAGUGCCUUGGCACUAACAUGCCAAAUUUAUUCUUCCUUUUUCUUUUAUAAUAAAAAACCACAGUAUAAAAUCAACAAUUUCCAAGAGUGGAGAGUAAAAGAAUCUCCUUCCAUUCUCUGCUCUCAGCCAGGUAGUUUUCCUUCCAGUAGUCACAUACCUUCAUAGAUUCUUGUACAAUAUCGAGAGAGUCUACAUAUUUAUAAUUAUUUACAUUGUUUCCUUUCAAAUGGCAGUACAUUGGUUUUUACCCCUACCUUUUCCAUUUAACUGUGUGUACUAGAGUGUUUUCCACAUAAGUGAAUAUAGUCCUACUUAAGUAGAGUUAUGAAAGUGAUGUCAACUGUGAAGUAUUUAUAGUGUUAGUUUUCAUGAAGUCACUAGUAUUUAUUUGGGAACCAAAUGGGAUUCUGAAAAUGGUUUUUAUUGCCAGUAGUGUUGACUAAUAUCCCAGAUUAAUGUUAAUAUUUAUUUCAACAUUUUUUUUUUGGUCUUUUUAGGGCUGCACCUGUAGCAUAUGGAAGUUCCCAGGCUAGGUAUCAAAUCAGAACUAAAGCUGCUAGCCUACACCACAGCCACAACCACAGCCACAGCCACGCCAGAUCUGAGCCUCAUCUGUGACCUAUACCACAGCUCAAAGGAACACUACAUCCUUAACCCGCUGAGCAAGGCCAGGAAUUGAACCUGUGUCCUCAUGGAUACUAGUUGGGUUUGUUACCACUGAGCCAAAACGGGAAUGCCAAGAUUUAUUUCACCUUUGAGCUGAUGAAGAUGUGCUCCCUAAGACAGUUUUUAUAUUUUUCUAGGAAAUAAUGCCUUGUGUGUUUUUCACCAGUUCUCUGUGCUGGCUGUUUUUAGACUCAGAAAUAGCUGCUUCAUUGUAGAAUUGGCAACAAGUGAAGAUAGACAAAGCCUGUUGGUUGUGCCCACUUGUGAUAAUUGCCAUACUUCAUAUUAUUUACCUAAGACUUCGUUCAUGCAAAUAGAUUCUUUAAUUGCCAAGCAGUGAAUCUUUGGACUGGAGGACCCUUUUUAAUUGAUGACCAUGAAUGGAUGGUCACUCUGGGACUGGGCUAUAAGUGCAUGUCUUCCGUAGUGAGCAGGAUGAGCAGACAUGGGGGAGGUCUAAACAGCUGCUUCAAGUGUGGACCCUCAGGGCCUGAUUACAGAGGCUGGGUGGACUUGCCUGCUGCAUGCAGCUCCAACUCCUGCCUGGCUUCCCUCGCUGAAGUUGCUGUCUUUUAGGCUGGCUUCCAAGUUUGACAUCAUUUAUCUCCAUGAACAGGUGCUCCCAUAAAAUGAACCCCAUAAAAAGCAAAUGCUGUGGCAAGGCUCAGUGAUUUCCUACUUGAUGCUUUUGUAGAGGGUAUGUUUAGAAACCGGCAGUGUUUCUCUACAGUCUCAAGAAGCUGAAUAGAGAAAAUACAGAGGGCAACAUUUUCCAGUGCAGAACAGCUAAAAAAAAAUCUAGAGUUUGAUUUAAAAUCACUUUAAAAACAUACCAAUUCCUGCAAACUCCUUUAAUAUGAUUUACCCUACAUUUCAUGGUGUCAGAAUUUGUGUGAACAUGUGGCCAUUUGGUACAGUAUUAGAACAAAAGAACAAUGGGUGGAAUGUAUUUAAACGUGAUUGGGGUGUGACAAAGAGGAUGGAGGAAAUGCUGAAGUAUGGUUAAGCUGAUGUUUUUCCAAAUGGGAAGCAACAUGUUUAAUUUAAAUAUAAUGUUUUUGGAGUUCACAUUACUGCCAAAAUACUGAGGUGACUGUUGAGGAUGAAAAUCACUGGGAAAAAGUUUGGAAAAUUGAGGCAUGUGUUUAAAAAGAAAUGGUGGAAUUUACCCAAUGAAUGUAAGACAGCGGAAAUUUUUGUCUGACCAUCAAGACCUCAGUUUGGCCCAAUUCUCAUUUGUUUUAAAUGUAGAAGACUUUCUGGAUUGAAAAUUUUAGAAGGCUGAAGUCACGUUAAAACUUUAGGAAUCUCUUAAAGAUUUCUGAAGACUGAGUAACCUGUGUAGAGCAAAGGACCUAUCCAAUCUGAAAGACACUUAUUCUUCAAAGCAUUAUUCUGUUUGUCUCAUUACAUCAACACUAGAUCUCAUCUAAGAAAAAUGGACAAUGCAAUAUUUUAGGGAAAAGGGAACUUAGAAAAUCAGUAUGAUAUUUUUGUAUCAUCACAUUCUCACUUUCAGUUGUUACAAAAUUAAAAUACUGUCUCUUAGCAGAGGGAAAAUAAAAUGAAAAAGAAUUGACAGAUUCCUCACAAAUAAAUCCCCACAGUUUAUUAUUUAACAUCUUUUUUAGAUUAAAUACAAGAAAAAGUAUAAAAGGAAACUUGUAAAUAUUAGAAAAAUUAAUAUCUCUAUAUUAGUAAAUUGUCAUUGUGUUAGUAAACUGGGUAUCAUAAAUGUUUGCUUUGUUUUGAAUUUUAUAUUUGAGUUUUCAAUGCUUUAAAAGAAGUAUAGCCUUAGCUCCUUGGUGCACUAUGUGGUUGCAUUCUACUUUGUAUCUACUAAAGAAAACAUUUUUUUUUAAUGUAUAUAAUUUGAAUAUGUAGAUUUAACCACCCCCUCCCAAAAUUUUUCAAAGGCAAUUAAGAUAAGUUAAAUACCAAGGAUCUUCUCUUGCUUAAAUUUUGUAACUCCAGUUACUGUUAGACAUCCCUUAAAUUCAUCUUUCCUCCUAAAGGAGUGUUAGCUAAAUCUCUCUGAACAAAACGUAUCCCUACUGAAAGUAAACAAAGUUUAAAGUCAGUGUACAGAAAUUGGCACAACAUUGUAAAUCAAUUAUACUUUAAUUUUAAAAAAAUUGAAAAGUUGGUGUACACAACACGGUUACAAAUUAGUUUACAAUAGAAGAAUUUUUGGUGAAAAACAAAAUAGUCAUUUUCACAGUGUUAAAUGCUUGAUGCUAAUAGGUAAAUACCCUUAGAACAAGGGUAAAUAAAUGGACACCCAGAAGCAGGUAGUCACAAAAAUGGAGCUACUUCUUCAGGUGUCUGCUAAUGAUAGUAUUUCUGCCUUACGAAUCACAGGCUGUCUUGUCGAAUCCAUCUUAACUGGGACGGUGUACUUUAUACUAUAGGUUAUUCCAUUAAUGAGAUAUAGUUAUGGGUGGAGAGAGGGAUGAUGAACAAGGUGAGGUAGAGUUUAAUGUCAGCUUUCUGGAAGGUGAAAAUAGAAUCUGCUUAAAGAUUUAUCCCAGAGAGCAGCCUGUUGCCAUUUUCUCUGUGAAUUCUUCCUGAUAUUAUAUAUCCUCUUUUGAUCAGGGGAAGAACUGACAAGUCAGGUAUUUAUUUUCCUGUCUCUGAGCAAGCUCAGUUAGUGGCCUCAUAUGGGUACAAACUAAAAGCAAUUUAAUAUGUUUAGGUGACUUGUUAUAAAGUUGAUCGGGAGAAGCCAUCACCAGGAAAGGAAAAGCCAUAUAUUCAGUGAACAUCUUUUCAUCAUAGUCACUAUUUUUAUGGACUAAAAUAACAGUGAGAUUGCUUUCCAUUGGAGAUCUGUCUCUGGUAUAUCAUGAUCUUAAUGUCAUCACAGAGCUGAAACUUGAUAGUUUAUGUCAAUCGAACUUCGUUUGCUUCUUUUUCCAACUCUGUAGUACUUCCAUGGGAACAUAAAAAUGAUUAAAAUUCUGUUUAUUAAUAUGAACAAAAACAAAAAAAGUAUCUUCAAAAUUAAAAUUCAGAGAGAAAUUGAAUCUCAUACUAGAGUAUUCAUUUAUAUUCAAAGAAUGCUAAUAAUCUUCUAUCUUUGUGCAUGAGAUCUAAAAUUCAAUCAGUAAAUCACCUUAACAACAGAGUCCAAAAAUGAAAGGCAAAAUAGAUUUUUUUCCAACAUAACCACUUGCUGCUAUUGAUCAAAGCUUGAUUUAGGUUUAUAUACCAUUGACAAGCUGCAGAUGGGAUUUUAUAGAUUUAUCAAUGUAAAUGUAAUUUGCCAAAUGUUUUGGUAAUGUUUUCUGUUAGCUAUCACUGUUGGUUGUAACAUGAGCAAACACAGCAACUGUUCUUUAUUCUGUUGUGAUAAUCAUGCUUCAAAGAAUGAGCAGCUUUAGGCAAGGAGGUGAUUCACAUCCUUGUUUAUCUGCCAGACAAAUGCAACUCAUUUGCUAGAACCAAGUGUGUGGGUACUUCCUACUCUGUUGGUUACUUAACUCCAGCUUUAAUGACCAUCCAUGUUUAAUAUUAAAUAUUUCAAGUUUAGGAUUUUAACACAUUUCAGGUAUAAAUGUGUCAGGGCUAUAGUGAUGCCCGAAAAUGUUGCUUUUAAAUUAUUUUUGCAAUGGACAUAAAAAACUGUAUUAAAAAAAAAAAAA